AGUGAACGCUGGCGGUAGGCCUAACACAUGCAAGUCGAACGGCAGCACAGUAAGAGCUUGCUCUUACGGGUGGCGAGUGGCGGACGGGUGAGGAAUACAUCGGAAUCUACUUUUUCGUGGGGGAUAACGUAGGGAAACUUACGCUAAUACCGCAUACGACCUACGGGUGAAAGUAGGGGAUCUUCGGACCUUGCGCGAUUGAAUGAGCCGAUGUCGGAUUAGCUAGUUGGCGGGGUAAAGGCCCACCAAGGCGACGAUCCGUAGCUGGUCUGAGAGGAUGAUCAGCCACACUGGAACUGAGACACGGUCCAGACUCCUACGGGAGGCAGCAGUGGGGAAUAUUGGACAAUGGGCGCAAGCCUGAUCCAGCCAUACCGCGUGGGUGAAGAAGGCCUUCGGGUUGUAAAGCCCUUUUGUUGGGAAAGAAAAGCAGCAGGUUAAUACCCCGCUGUUCUGACGGUACCCAAAGAAUAAGCUCCGGCUAACUUCGUG
rnacentral:rRNA from 1 species